AUGAACGCUGGCGGCGUGCCUAAUACAUGCAAGUCGAGCGAACGGACGAGAAGCUUGCUUCUCUGAUGUUAGCGGCGGACGGGUGAGUAACACGUGGAUAACCUACCUAUAAGACUGGGAUAACUUCGGGAAACCGGAGCUAAUACCGGAUAAUAUUUUGAACCGCAUGGUUCAAAAGUGAAAGACGGUCUUGCUGUCACUUAUAGAUGGAUCCGCGCUGCAUUAGCUAGUUGGUAAGGUAACGGCUUACCAAGGCAACGAUGCAUAGCCGACCUGAGAGGGAGAUCGGCCACACUGGAACUGAGACACGGUCCAGACUCCUACGGGAGGCAGCAGUAGGGAAUCUUCCGCAAUGGGCGAAAGCCUGACGGAGCAACGCCGCGUGAGUGAUGAAGGUCUUCGGAUCGUAAAACUCUGUUAUUAGGGAAGAACAUAUGUGUAAGUAACUGUGCACAUCUUGACGGUACCUAAUCAGAAAGCCACGGCUAACUACGUG
rnacentral:rRNA from 1 species